rnacentral:rRNA from 1 species
CAACGGAUCUCUUGGUUCUCCCAUCGAUGAAGAACGCAGCGAAUUGCGAUAAGUAAUGUGAAUUGCAGAAGUGAAUCAUCGAAUCUUUGAACGCACCUUGCGC